UCCUACGGGAGGCAGCAGUGAGGAAUAUUGCCCAAUGGACGAAAGUCUGAGGCAGCAACGCCGCGUGAGCGAUGAAGGCCUUCGGGUUGUAAAGCUCUUUUCUGGGGGACGAGGAAGGACGGUACCUCAGGAAUAAGUCACGGCUAACUACGUGCCAGCAGCCGCGGUAAU
rnacentral:rRNA from 1 species